GACGAACGCUGGCGGCGUGCUUAACACAUGCAAGUCGAACGGAAAGGCCCUGCUUUUGUGGGGUGCUCGAGUGGCGAACGGGUGAGUAACACGUGAGUAACCUGCCCUUGACUUUGGGAUAACUUCAGGAAACUGGGGCUAAUACCGGAUAGGAGCACCUGCUGCAUGGUGGGGGUUGGAAAGUUUCGGCGGUUGGGGAUGGACUCGCGGCUUAUCAGCUCGUUGGUGGGGUAGUGGCUUACCAAGGCUUUGACGGGUAGCCGGCCUGAGAGGGUGACCGGCCACAAUGGGACUGAGAUACGGCCCAGACUCCUACGGGAGGCAGCAGUGGGGAAUAUUGCACAAUGGGCGGAAGCCUGAUGCAGCAACGCCGCGUGCGGGAUGACGGCCUUCGGGUUGUAAACCGCUUUCGCCUGUGACGAAGCGUGAGUGACGGUAAUGGGUAAAGAAGCACCGGCUAACUACGUG
rnacentral:rRNA from 1 species